rnacentral:rRNA from 1 species
AUUGAACGCUGGCGGCAGGCCUAACACAUGCAAGUCGAACGGUAACAGGAAGAAGCUUGCUUCUUUGCUGACGAGUGGCGGACGGGUGAGUAAUGUCUGGGAAACUGCCUGAUGGAGGGGGAUAACUACUGGAAACGGUAGCUAAUACCGCAUAACGUCGCAAGACCAAAAAGGGGGACCUUCGGGCCGCUUGCCAUCGGAUGUGCCCAGAUGGGAUUAGCUAGUAGGUGGGGUAACGGCUCACCUAGUCGACGAUCCCUAGCUGGUCUGAGAGGAUGACCAGCCACACUGGAACUGAGACAAGGUCCAGACUCCUACGGGAGGCAGCAGUGGGGAAUAUUGCACAAUGGGCGCAAGCCUGAUGCAGCCAUGCCGCGUGUAUGAAGAAGGCCUUCGGGUUGUAAAGUACUUUCAGCGGGGAGGAAGGGAGUAAAGUUAAUACCUUUGCUCAUUGACGUUACCCGCAGAAGAAGCACCGGCUAACUCCGUG